rnacentral:rRNA from 1 species
GAGCACGUAGGUGGGUUUGUAAGUCGGUUGUGAAAGCCUUCCGCUUAACGGAAGAAUGGCGGUCGAAACUGCAUGGCUUGAGUGCGGGAGGGGAGAGUGGAACUUCUGGUGGAGCGGUGAAAUGCGUAGAUAUCAGAAGGAACGUCGGCGGCGAAAGCGACUCUCUAGACCGUAACUGACGCUGAGUGUGCGAAAGCUAGGGGAGCAAACGGGAUUAGAUACCCCGGUAGUCCUAGCCGUAAACGAUGGGCACUAAGUAGAGGGGUUUU